AACGAACGCUGGCGGCAGGCUUAACACAUGCAAGUCGAACGCCCCGCAAGGGGAGUGGCAGACGGGUGAGUAACGCGUGGGAACAUACCCUUUUCUACGGAAUAGCUCUGGGAAACUGGAAUUAAUACCGUAUACGCCCUACGGGGGAAAGAUUUAUCGGGGAAGGAUUGGCCCGCGUUGGAUUAGCUAGUUGGUGGGGUAAAGGCCUACCAAGGCGACGAUCCAUAGCUGGUCUGAGAGGAUGAUCAGCCACAUUGGGACUGAGACACGGCCCAAACUCCGCCGGGGGGCCGCGGGGGGGAAAUUUGGACAAUGGGCCCAAGCCUGAACCAGCCAUGCCGGGGGAGUGAUGAAGGCCUUAGGGUUGAAAAGCUCUUUCACCGAUGAAGAUAAUGCCGGUAGUCGGAGAAGAAGCCCCGGCUAACUUCGG
rnacentral:rRNA from 1 species